rnacentral:rRNA from 1 species
UACGUAGGGGGGCUAGCGUUGUCCGGAUUUAUUGGGCGUAAAGAGCGUGUAGGCGGCCAGGUAGGUCUGGUGUGAAAACUCGAGGCUCAACCUCGAGACGUCGGUUGAAACCGUACGGCUAGAGUCCGGAAGAGGAGAGUGGAAUUCCCGGUGUAGCGGUGAAAUGCGCAGAUAUCGGGAAGAACACCCGUGGCGAAGGCGGCUCUCUGGGACGGUACUGACGCUGAGACGCGAAAGCGUGGGGAGCGAACAGG